CACACGUCACCGAACGAGCCCACGAUGCUCCCCAGCGACCCGAUGCACGAGAUGAUCUUGUCCGGGUUGCUCUUCCAGAAGCUGCAUGCCCACAGGUACGUACACGCACGCAUCACAUCACCAGAUAGAUAGAUGAUCAGCAUCGACGUUACUUGCACCGGUGAUCAUAUGUCUACUCACUUAAUUAAUUACUCAGAAAUUGACAUGUAAUUAACAUAUAUAGUUUCUUACUCGCAGCUCCCGGUGAAUCCGGUCAUCGGUGACGGUGAGUAGCCACCGCCGCCGCCGCCGCCUCCAUACCCUCCGCCGCCGCCUCCACCGUAGCCUCCACCACCGCCGUAGCCUCCACCGCCGCCGCCGCCGCCGACUGCCAAGAAGUGAGAUCGUCGGUACCCGCAAGAACAGACAUUAUUGUUGUCAACUGAAGGGUACAGUACACAAAAGUACACACAGAUCGCUUACAC
rnacentral:lncRNA from 1 species